ACAACAGCAAACUAUCUCCACUUCCUUAAACUCUGCGAACAAAAAUUAAAAACCAAAAUACAAUUCAGAUUCAGAGAAAUUCAUUUAUUUAUUUAUGGUGAUGAAUCAGAGCCGUUGAUUAUGAAUCUCUCUCUCUCUUCCUCCACUUCUUUAUCGACCUCAUCAACCACAUCGUCGUCUUCGUCUUCUUCUUCUUCGACGUCGUGGUUCUCUGGCAUUGUCAGAGGCCGCUCCGGCUCUGCCAAGAUGAGCACCAACUCCUCCGCCGCCGCCGGCUUUGGUGACAGUGUUUCUCCGAUUGUAAAGAAGAAUCACUGGCAUGGUGUGCUCUUCAAGUACGGUCCCAAGCCUAUUCAGGUUGCAUUUAAAACAGGUGAUUAUAAACAACGAGUAAUUUUUAUUGGUGGAUUAACUGAUGGCUUUCUCGCCACAGAAUACUUGGAACCUCUUGUGUGUUAUUUCCAAUGUUUUGUCAUGCCAUAGGGAGUUACAGCUAUUCCUAUGCACAGUUGGGUGGUUUGUUCUAUUUGAAUUGUAGACAUUGCAAAUCUGAAUAUCUAAUAUUGUUUUGAAAGUACAUUUAGAAGCUAAAUGUGUUUUUUUGUUGAUGUAAAAAUUCAGUUCAAUUGGAUUUUUUACACCAUAAAUAUUGUAAAAAUUCACCUCUAAUUGUAAAAUGUAUUGUGCUUGUGUAAACCCUAAAGUGAGAAAGAGAUGGUAAUUUUCCUUCUUUUACAGUUGCAUUGACCUUGGACAUGGAUAUUUUACAUUGGAACUUACUAUUCAGAUUUUAGAUUGUUUAGAUACUGAGCCCAUGUUUACUUUCAUUCUGUGUUGAGUCAGGACGCAAUGGAGCUUGAUCAGCAGAUCAGUCAUUUAAUCAACAAAGAAGAUUCUGAAGGUGUGGUACUACUGGGGCAUAGUACUGGUUGUCAGGAUAUUGUGCAAUAUAUGCGUACAAAUGCUGCAUGCUCCAGAGCAGUCCGUGCUGCCAUUUUGCAGGUACUCACCUAUCAAUACCCUGCUCUGCUCCUUGUAAUGUAAAAGCUUCAAAGAUCUAUAUAUUCAUUCCUAAAUGUAAACCAUUAGUUGUGCUUCUUGAUGUUAGAAUGAGUUUCUGCAGUGAAUGGCAUGGCUUUUAGCUGAAUACAAAGGCUUU